rnacentral:rRNA from 1 species
CCUUGUUGCCAGCGGUCCGGCCGGGAACUCAAAGGAGACUGCCAGUGAUAAACUGGAGGAAGGUGGGGAUGACGUCAAGUCAUCAUGGCCCUUACGACCAGGGCUACACACGUGCUACAAUGGCGCAUACAAAGAGAAGCGACCUCGCGAGAGCAAGCGGACCUCAUAAAGUGCGUCGUAGUCCGGAUUGGAGUCUGCAACUCGACUCCAUGAAGUCGGAAUCGCUAGUAAUCGUGGAUCAGAAUGCCACGGUGAAUACGUUCCCGGGCCUU